rnacentral:rRNA from 1 species
GCGAGAUAGGGGGCGCUCUCGAAAAUCUGGUUUGACGCGAGAAGCUGGCCGCCGGCAGGCCGCGGAAGAGUCGGGAAGUUGGCGGCCGUGGUCCGUGGAGCACUCCCGAAGGGCCCCUGAAGCCAAACCAAACUCCACGCAUAACCUUUUCUGACUCAUGGGGCCCUCUCCGUCGCCGCCGCAGCCGCCACCGCCGCUUCCGGCGACCGGCCGCCUCCUCGUGCUCUACGCGUCGCAGACCGGCAACGCCAUGGACGCCGCCGAACGUGUUGGGCGCGAGGCCGAGCGCGGUGGCUGCCCGGCCGUCGACGUCCUCUCCAUGGACAGCUUUGACCCCAGUUGCUUGCCGGGCGAAAUGUCCGUGGUGUUCGUCGUGUCCACCACGGGGCAGGGCGAUCCCCCGGAUUCCAUGAAGGGGUUUUGGAGAUACCUUCUUAAGAAGGACCUUGGUGCCAGGUGGCUGGAAGGGCUCCGUUUUGCCGUAUUUGGGCUCGGCGAUUCGGGCUACCAGAAGUACAAUUUACCUGCAAAGAAGAUCGAUAGAAGGCUUUUACAACUUGGUGCAGAAAUAAUCAUAGAGAUAGGCUUGGGAGAUGACCAACACCCUUCAGGAUAUGAAGGAGCUCUAGAUCCUUGGUUGCUGUCUUUGUGGGAAUCGCUGAAUAAAGCAAAUCCGUCACUUCUACCAAGAAUAACUGAUAUCAUUAAUCCUAAUUUGAAUUAUUUGGGGGAUUCAAAGAUCGAAGUCAUAUAUUACUCUUGCAAUGAUACCCCUCCAGAUUCCAUUGUUUCAGACUCCAAGAAAUUAAUCAAGAGAGCACGCUUAAUGUCCCCUGCUCUGAAGUUCCAUAGUGAUGGAGAGCCACAAUACAUGUUAAAGAUGGUAACAAAUCAGCGUUUGACUAAGGAGGAUUAUGAGAAAGAUGUGCGCCACUUUGAAUUGGAAGAUCCAUCUUCAGGGAUCAGCUAUCAAGUUGGCGAUGCGUUAGAAAUUCUACCAAGUCAGAAUCCAUCAGCUGUUAAUGCUUUCAUUGAACGCUGUAACUUGGAUCCAGAUUGUUACAUAACGAUUAGAGCAAAGGGAGGGGAUGAAGUUCCCAACGGUUCACUUCUGAAUGGCUCGAUGGGUCGCAUCAAGUUAAGCACCUUUGUUGCUUUGACAAUGGAUGUUGCAUCAGCUUCCCCUCGUCGGUAUUUCUUUGAGAUCAUGAGCCAUUUUGCAACAGCUGAACAUGAAAAGGAAAGGCUUCAGUAUUUUGCUUCUCCUGAAGGUAGAGAUGACCUCUACCAGUACAAUCAAAAGGAGAGUCGGACUGUUCUAGAAGUACUGGAGGAUUUUCCCUCGGUGCACAUGCCUUUUGAAUGGCUGGUGCAACUAACUCCUCCAUUGAAGAAACGGGCCUUUUCCAUAUCAUCAUCGCCAUUAGUACAUCCAAAUCAGAUACACUUGACUGUUAGUAUUGUAUCAUGGCUUACUCCUUUCAAGAGGACAAGGCAGGGUCUCUGCUCCACAUGGCUGGCAGGUCUCAGUCCAAAUGAAGAAAAUCUUAUACCAUGUUGGGUACACAAAGGAUCCCUGCCUCCUCCCAAGCCAUCGAUUCCUCUUGUACUUAUUGGACCAGGAACAGGAUGUGCACCAUUUCGAGCAUUUGUGGAGGAAAGGGCUGCACAGAGUGCGAGAGAAUCAACAGCUCCCAUUCUGUUCUUUUUUGGCUGUAGAAAUGAAGACAACGAUUUUCUGUACAAGGACUUCUGGUUGAAGCAUGCCCAGGACAAGGGAGUGCUGUCCCUGAAAGAGGGCGGUGGUUUCUUUGUUGCCUUUUCCAGGGAUCAGCCUCAAAAGGUCUAUGUACAACAUAAGAUAAAGGAGCAGAGUGCAAGAGUGUGGAACAUAUUAUGCUCUGGGGCUGCAAUAUACGUUGCAGGGUCUUCUACCAAAAUGCCUGCUGAUGUUACAGCUGCACUAGAAGAAGUUAUCCGCCAAAAAGGUGGUGAGGCUGCUUCAGGAUGGCUCAGGAAACUGGAAAGGGCUGGUAAAUUUAACAUUGAAACGUGGUCGUGAUUUUUCAGUCAAACAGGGCAAGAAAGUAUGUGCGAACAAUCUAUCGUGCUCCGCAGUUAUUUAUGGGGUAGCAAUUCAGCGUAGAUCAAAGAUUUCAAGAAAGUAGAUGUAUAUCUGCACAUAAAUACAGAUAAACAAUCAUUUAUUCUUCGACAGUAAAAAUCACAAGGGAAAUCAAACACAUCCCCUGUUUCACUGUUGUAUCUGUAUUCGGGAUGAUGUAGGUUUGGUUCAAAGAUGAAGAGUGGUGACUUAAUUUUAUGAAGUGGGAUGAAAACAAGUGAAAUCAGGUGAGAGCAGUAGUUGCUGUAUUUGACGUGGUUUUAAUUUGUGACACUCUGUUCAAUUUGUUGACCUUAUGAUGUAGGAGUAUUAUCUAAUCUGUACUCAAUGGCCAGUCUUGAAUAUUUACUAUGACGCCCUAUGAUCAUUCAGGAUUUCCGUUUGAAGAG